CCCCUUAAAAAAAUUUCGUCCUUGAAAUUACCUUGAACUUAGUUGAAAAGUUCUGGAUACUUGGUCUUGAUUUCUUCUUCUCUUUCCCAAGUCGAUUCUUCGACAUUAUGAUUCCUCCAUUGGACUCUUACUAACGGAAUUUCUUUUGUUCUUAAUUGCUGGAUUCUGCGAUCCAAUAUCGAUACUGGUUUUUCCUCAUAUGUCAUGUUUGAUUUGAUAUCCAAUGGUUGAUAAUUAACCACGUGACUUGGGUCUAAUACAUA
rnacentral:lncRNA from 1 species